rnacentral:miRNA from 1 species
UUGUGCGUGUGACAUCGGCUA